rnacentral:rRNA from 1 species
UGGGGAAUAUUGGACAAUGGGGGAAACCCUGAUCCAGCGACGCCGCGUGGGUGAAGAAGGCCUGCGGGUUGUAAAGCCCUUUCGGUGGGGAAGAAAAGCUUCGACCUAAUACGUCGGAGUCUUGACGUAACCCACAGAAGAAGCACCGGCUAACUCUGUG